AGAUUGAACGCUGGCGGCAUGCCUUACACAUGCAAGUCGAACGGCAGCACGGGAGCAAUCCUGGUGGCGAGUGGCGAACGGGUGAGUAAUACAUCGGAACGUGCCCAAUCGUGGGGGAUAACGCAGCGAAAGCUGUGCUAAUACCGCAUAAGAUCUACGGAUGAAAGCAGGGGAUCGCAAGACCUUGCGCGAAUGGAGCGGCCGAUGGCAGAUUAGGUAGUUGGUGAGGUAAAGGCUCACCAAGCCUUCGAUCUGUAGCUGGUCUGAGAGGACGACCAGCCACACUGGGACUGAGGCACGGCCCAGACUCCUACGGGAGGCAGCAGUGGGGAAUUUUGGACAAGU
rnacentral:rRNA from 1 species